rnacentral:lncRNA from 1 species
GACUCGCGGUUGUCGAAGCCGGUCAAAAAUAACCUUUCUGGUUAUCAACAAUUUUACAACUGCAGAUAGUGGUGAAAGGAUCGAAUCCACAGAGAAUUGAUUACCUAUUUAUUUUUCUUAACAAGACCAAUAAAAUAAACUGAAACAAUAAUAAAUUAAAGAUGAGAUAAAAGACUGAAAGUGGGAUCAAAUGAGAUAAACUGGAAGCAGAAUAAAAAUAAAUUGCAAUAAAAGUAAAAUGGGGGGGGUUUGAGAUUGAUUGCAGUAACUAAUAAUGAGAGUAAUAAUAGAAAGCAAAUAAUUAAAAUAAAAGAGUAAAUCAAGAUGAGAAAAGCCUAGUUGAAGAUAUGGAUCCACUUUGGUUGUUUGGGUUGAUCAUUGAAACUUAAAUUAUCUUGAUUGGUUCAAUAGAUUAGUUAUGGGGGUGGAAGACGCUUCUCACCACCAUGUCUCUCCUUAUGAUUAAAUUAAUUAGGGAACAUCCUCUAAUUAAUUACUAAUUAACAAAUUGUCAAGGAACGUCCUUGGGUCAUAGGCAUCAAAACAAUUAUCAAUUGCAUAAAGAAAUAGAGAGAUCCAAUCCUAGCUACCCAAACGUAUGGAGAUAACGCUAGAUCAUGCAAUUUUCUUGGGUUUUAUCCCAAGUGUUCUAAGGUCAGAAUAUUUCCAGCAAUUACGGACUAAAAAUAAUCCCAACUAACAAUCAAUUAACUUUGCAAUUAAAAUCAAGUGGCCAAUUUGAUCAAAACAACAAAGUAAUCAUGUAAUUAAAGCAUCAAUUGCAUAAAUAUUGAACAAAACCAAAGACAAUAAUUUAUGUUCAGAUCUCACAACCAAUUAAACAACCUUAGUUUCAAC